rnacentral:rRNA from 1 species
UACAGGGGGUGCAAACGUUGCUCGGAAUCAUUGGGCGUAAAGCGCACGUAGGCGGUUCGUUAUGUCGGAUGUGAAAGCCCUUGGCUUAACCGAGGAAGUGCAUCCGAAACUGGCGAGCUAGAGUACUAAAGAGGAUCGCGGAAUUCCCGGUGUAGCGGUGAAAUGCGCAGAUAUCAGGAGGAACACCGGUGGCGAAGGCGGGUCUCUGGGCCGAUACUGACGCUGAGGAGCGAAAGCGUGGGGAGCGAACAGG